CCUUAGCUCAGAACUACUCCAUCAGAAUUUCCAGGGAGAGGCCAGAAAAUCCAGGUAAUUUAACAAGUGCCCUAAGCUUCUAGAGGCUUCCUCCAGUUAGAAAGCCAGCACCAGAAAUCUUCAGAUCUCCUCGCCUUCCUCCACUCACUCCUUCUUAUAAGGACCCCUGUUUCUAUUGGACCCACCCACACAGCCUUGGAUAAUUGCCUCAACAGCUGUAACUGAAUCACAGGUGUAGUCUAUCUGGCUAUAUAAGCGCUUCCUCCUCACUCCUGCCAUGCCCGCCACCCCUGCUUCUUAACACGUGGAGCUCUGUGGAGAAGGAGGACCACGUCACCUCAUUGUGAUGCCUUACCUCUCACGACUCUCUUACCGCUACCCCAGCCUGCCUCCCGUGAGUGUUUUCUGAGCUGCGGAGCUGCCCACAAGGAACAACAGAUCUGAACAACCAGGACGAUUCCACAGGAGGUCUGAGAAGCGUUCCAUAGGGAAAUUUUCGUCUUGCAGCCUCCAUUGUGAACUGGCUCAACGGAGCAGGAAAACACCACAGUGAGGGACUCUAGGGGAAAUGGCCUUUUGUGAAAGUGGAAAGAUCUAGGUGGAGACUUUCCAAUUUAAAGAUAUUCAAUGAUGCAGUUAUUAUAAGUUCAAUAUCUGAAUUUUUAGACACCAAGGAUCCCCGAAGUAAACAGAACAUGCU